GAUGAACGCUAGCUACAGGCUUAACACAUGCAAGUCGAGGGGAAACGAUAUUGAAAGCUUGCUUCCGAUAGGCGUCGACCGGCGCACGGGUGAGUAACGCGUAUCCAACCUGCCCACCACUUGGGGAUAACCUUGCGAAAGUAAGACUAAUACCCAAUGAUAUCUCUAGAAGACAUCUGAAGGAGAUUAAAGAUUUAUCGGUGAUGGAUGGGGAUGCGUCUGAUUAGCUUGUUGGCGGGGUAACGGCCCACCAAGGCGACGAUCAGUAGGGGUUCUGAGAGGAAGGUCCCCCACAUUGGAACUGAGACACGGUCCAAACUCCUACGGGAGGCAGCAGUGAGGAAUAUUGGUCAAUGGACGAGAGUCUGAACCAGCCAAGUAGCGUGCAGGAUGACGGCCCUAUGGGUUGUAAACUGCUUUUAUAAGGGAAUAAAGUGAGCCUCGUGAGGCUUUUUGCAUGUACCUUAUGAAUAAGGACCGGCUAAUUCCGUGCCAGCAGCCGCGGUAA
rnacentral:rRNA from 1 species